rnacentral:rRNA from 1 species
CACGUAGGGUGCGAGCGUUGUCCGGAAUUAUUGGGCGUAAAGAGCUCGUAGGCGGUUUGUCGCGUCUGCUGUGGAAAACUGGGGGCUCAACCCCCCAGCCUGCAGUGGGGUACGGGCAGACUAGAGUGGCGGUAGGGGAGAUUGGAAUUCCUGGUGUAGCGGUGGAAUGCGCAGAUAUCAGGAGGAACACCGAUGGCGAACGGUGCAGCCCCCUGGGCUAACACUGA